CAGGUUCGUGGAGGAUAAUGAUGUCGGCGACCGUACGGAGGUGGCUGACGCCGUUAAAGUGGUGGAGGAUCAUGCACCAUCUGAGGUGGUGCCAACUGUAAUAGUGGAUAAUUUCCAGGAGCUAGUGCCUUCAAAUCAGUGGCACGAAACUACUCAUUUUGAUGGGCUCAAAAGCUAGAUGCAAUGUAAAUAAAUUAGCAGAAGCAAUGGAUGAUUAAGAGAAAGCUACAGAAGAGAUUGAAUCAUGUGUUACAGUUGAAGAUGUUGCGUCAAUUAGUAUCGACUAAUAGGUUAGAACGAAACUGUAUCUGUUAUGUUGUUGCAUUCUAAUGAUUUGAAGUGUAGAUCUUUGGUUUAAAAUAUCUGUAAUGAUAUCGAUAUUUAUGUUUUAAUGUGAGAUUUUAGACUAAAAUUUAUGAUU